UACGAAGGGGGCUAGCGUUGCUCGGAAUUACUGGGCGUAAAGCGCACGUAGGCGGCUUUGUAAGUUAGAGGUGAAAGCCCGGGGCUCAACUCCGGAACUGCCUUUAAGACUGCAUCGCUUGAAUCCAGGAGAGGUGAGUGGAAUUCCGAGUGUAGAGGUGAAAUUCGUAGAUAUUCGGAAGAACACCGGUGGCGAAGGCGGGUCUCUGGGCAAUUCCUGACGCUGAGGCGCGAAAGCGUGGGGAGCAAACGGG
rnacentral:rRNA from 1 species